GUCAGUAUCUGUACAUGGACACCCUGCACAUCACCAAAGAAAGCACAUUAAGUUAUGCUACUCGUGUAUCUGUAAGUGUGCUUUUAAUCUUUGUGAAGGGGCUGAGAAAACUUACUCAAGUAUUUGCUUGCAGUUCCUGGAAAAUCAGUGACGAGUCCAUCAACUUGAACAGCUUGAACAUAAGUGGCAAUCUCCACUAUUGGGUCGCUGAAGUAAUCGAAAGCCAGAGAGACGUACUCGUUCCUGAGUUGAUAGACAUAGACGGUGAGAUUUGCUGCGUGCAUUUCCUUGACGACAUUGGUGAACCCCACUGUGAAAAAAUCAUUGACUUUGACUAUGGAGCUUCUAGGAAUGGUCACUCCGUCUGCAUACUUCUUUAUUUCGUCUACAGAAGCUUUAGAUUGUAGAAGAAAAAUGUAUCUGAGAAAGACCAACCGGGACAUUCAACCAAAACUUUGGUGGCUUGAUUCCUGUGACAUCUUCAACAGUAGAGAUUGGUAAUUGACCGUCGAACAAAUUCGACCUAGAGUAUACAUUCUGCAUCACUGUAAAUCAAGAAGGUUAAGGUAACAAAAUCAAAAGAAAAACAGGUUAUCUCCAAACCUUAUAAGGGCUUGUCUAUUUAUUGAAACUUGUUAAAAAAAACUUACAUGUGACAUUGCUCAAUAGCUGAUCAGAUGUAUAAUCCACUGUGAACCACCCACGAAGGCUUUGCCCAUUUACCUUGUUGCAGGACACAGCCAUGUCUGGCAAACCUGUAGAAACCGCGAUUUGAUUCGCAAAACUGCUGGAUUCUGGGAACAGCCCUGAAAACCCACCUCGGGCUAUAACAAUUGGCCGCUCACCUGCCAGAAAAAUUAGAAGAAGAUUAACUUUUUACACAAGAAAUCAAAUCAAUUGUAAUGAACUUUAUCAGAGAGAAUAUUGUACUUGUAUUUCAAGCCAAGUUUUUGUUACAGAAUUUGCAUAUGUUGCUAUUUGCUCUGUUGUUAUUACCUUUUAAAGUCUGCCAUUUCGUUGGAGAAGACUGAGAUGGAUUCUGUGCUAAAGUUGAGUGUAUGAACAGGGAAA